CGUUCCUCUCCAGCUGAACGUCAGUAGGUCACGGUGGAAGCAGAGGUCUGGACCAAAGAGCUGUCUCAACCCCAAACCAUUUCAGAUGGAGGUGGAUGCAGACGAUAAGCGCCAUCGCACACGCUCCAAAGUGCCUGUGGAUCCAGCAUUAACAGAGCUUUUCAG